rnacentral:rRNA from 1 species
GACAGAGGGUGCAAACGUUGCUCGGAAUCACUGGGCGUAAAGGGCGUGUAGGCGGGUAGGCAAGUCGGGCGUGAAACUCCCUGAGCUCAACUCAGGAACUGCACUCGAAACUACUUAUCUUGAGUGCCGGAGAGGAAAGCGGAAUACCUGGUGUAGAGGUGAAAUUCGUAGAUAUCCAGGUGGAACACCAGUGGCGAAGGCGGCUU